rnacentral:tRNA from 1 species
GGGCAGAAAGGCAACUGGUGUGUCUCCCGGUCUUCAAAACCGGUGUGGGGCGGAUACGUCCCGGAUGGGUUCGAUUCCCAUAUGCC